rnacentral:misc_RNA from 1 species
AGAAAGUCUCAGCUGUAAUUCUUGGUUGCAUGUCUGUUGCUAUUCUAUUAGCAGAAGCAACUCUUUUGCCAAGGGGAGUCGAUUUGUCUCUGUUUUCCAUUCUAAUAAAGUCUGUUGGAGAUCAAGAGGUUCUUGUUCAGGUGUUUGCUUUUCUGCCACUUAUGUAUAUGUGUGUCUGCACUUACUAUUCGCUGUUCAAAGCUGGAAUGUAUAUGUUUUACUCAUUGACACCGAGACAAACAAGUUCUGUGAGCUUGUUAAUGAUUUGCUCGAUGAUUGCCCGUUAUGCACCUCCAAUUUCGUACAAUUUCCUUAACCUUAUCAGUCUCGGCGAAAACAAGAAAACCAUUUUUGAGAAGCGAAUGGGAACUGUUGACAAGGCUGUUCCUUUCUUUGGUCAAGGAUUCAACAAAAUUUAUCCACUUAUUAUGGUUUUAUAUACGUUGCUAGUGGCAAGCAAUUUCUUUGAUUGGAUAAUCAGAUUUUUUGGGAACUGGAAGAUAUUUAGAUUUCAGUCAGAGACAGAUGAUAUGGAUGGUUUUGAUCCAUCAGGGUUACUGAUCUUGCAGAAAGAACGAAGCUGGCUCGAACAAGGACGCAAACUUGGUGAACAUGUUUUGCCAUUAGCAAGGAAUUUCAACAAUAUGACAGUGGAUCUGGAGUCUGAUGGCAAUACUAUACAUACAAAUGAUUUUGAAUCAAAGGCACUCAUGGAAUCAAGAAAGGACCGAGGGAGUUCGUCAAGACCUUUGAAAGAUGAGGCCCGUCGGUAUUCAGGGAGCAAGGAAGCCAUUAGCAGCAAAUAUGCUGCCUUGAGGGAACAGGGCAAGCUACCAUCUCAUGUGAAGCCAAUGGAGGAGGAUAUAGGCUCUACUAAGGUCUCUUUACUUGAUUCUGCCAGCUCUCAAUCUGGCGGUGCAGUAGCAGCUCCAUCAGGUUUGGCUGGUAGAUGGGCAUCAAUGAAAUCAGGUUUCCAGAAUUUCAAAACAAACAUUGAAGCAAAAAGGUUAAUUCCACUACGCCAAGUUGGUGAAUUUGUUCCUUUACGUCAAACUCAGGAUACAAACGUUUCUCGUGCCUCCUCAUCCGUAUCUCUUGAUGAGAUAUUCCAGAAAUUAAA